GAUGAAGAACGCAGCGAAAUGCGAUAAGUAGUGUGAAUUGCAGAAUUCAGUGAAUCAUCGAAUCUUUGAACGCACAUUGCGCCCCUUGGUAUUCCAUGGGGCAUGCCUGUUCGAGCGUCAUUUGUACCUUCAAGCUCUGCUUGGUGUUGGGUGUUUGUCUCGCCUCUGCGUGUAGACUCGCCUUAAAACAAUUGGCAGCCGGCGUAUUGAUUUCGGAGCGCAGUACAUCUCGCGCUUUGCACUCAUAACGACGACGUCCAAAAGUACAUUUUUACACUCUUGACCUCGGAUCAGGUAGGGAUACCCGCUGAACUUAAGCAUAUCAAUAAGGGAGGA
rnacentral:misc_RNA from 1 species